CAACGAUUCCAUGUCGUAGCUCUUCCCCCAUUCUCGUCGCUCGACCUCAUCUCCGGUGUCCUGCGUCCCCGCCUCUUCUCCUUCGUCUUGUGGUUUCUCGAAUCCGCCGGAACAGUUGUGAUCGUGUUGCCGGCACGAGUAGCAUGAGCGCGAAACAUGCGGCGCCUCGUUCAUGCCCUUGAUGAGCGCUUCGACUAGUGCUUGCCGCGGGAAUCUCGUUUUCUUUCUCGGCGAUGCACGUCCCGCCCGCGGUAGCGCGCAGAACCACAUGCUUGCUUUUGUUAUUCAGCGGAGUCGGCGACGGCGGAGCGCCUCCCGAAUGAUUGGAAAUUGUAAGUACAAGGGGUACCCCAAGAAGAGAUCUUGGUGGCAGAAGUUCUUCUCGGACGGAGACGACGAGAGCUGGUUCGGCUUGAGUGCUGAGGAUGUGCUCGGCGUCGACGGGGUAGGCGAUGAUUACGGAGAGAAGGACGGGCCGGAGGAUGAGAGAUUUGAGGCUUGGAAGAGCAGGGCCGAGGCGAUCGUUGAGCUCCGUGAAUCACAAGAGAAUGCGAGAAAUGCGGAGGGCCGAGCGUGGGAAGAUUGGCUUGGACGAGAUGAACUUGCUGGCGGGGGUUCUUCGUCUUCGGAUCAGGAUUGGGGCGGUGAAGCGGCCGGACCUCCGAGCGAGGUGGCCGAUGACCCAGAGGAGAUAACGCGGGAGAAGGGUCUUGUAGAAGCAAUUAAGGAUGCGAUUGCUGAGAAUGAUGAAGAACUGUUGUUCGAGGAUAGAGUUUUCCGGUAUGCUUCGACUAGUUCGGCAAAAUUUGUUGCUUUAUUGAUUCUCGUUCCAUGGGCAUUGGACUUUGUGGUUCAUGACUUUGUCCUGAUGCCAUUCUUAGACAGGUAUGUGAAGACCGUACCACUUGCUGCUGAGAUGCUUGAUGUUAGGAGACAACAAAAACUUGAGAUGAUAAAGACUUUAAAGCUUGAGAGAGCAAGAUUGCGCUUAGAGGUAGAGAUUGGUAAAUCUCCUCCUCUUUCAGAUGAAGACAUCUGGGUGGAGUUGCGGCACAAAGCGAUAGAUCUAAGAGAUGAAUGGAGAUUAGAGAACCGAAAAGCAUUUGCAAACAUUUGGUCAGACAUGGUGUAUAGCAUCACAUUAUUCAUUCUUAUCUACUUCAAUAAGAGCAAAGUUGCUUUGCUAAAGUUUACAGGAUAUAAGCUACUAAAUAACAUUUCAGACACAGGGAAAGCAUUCCUUAUUAUUUUAAUCACAGAUAUUUUUUUGGGGUAUCAUUCUGAGUCUGGUUGGCAGGCUUUGAUAGAGAUUAUUCUUGAGCAUUAUGGGCUUGAAAUUGAUAAAGCUGCAAUAACCAUUUUCAUUUGCUCAGUUCCAGUUGUGAUUGAUGCCUGUGUGAAGCUUUGGCUAUUCAGGUUCCUUCCGAGGCUGUCCCCAAAUGUGUCUAAUAUUUUCCAAGAAAUGAAGCGGCAUUAGUCGCAGCCAUCUUGUUCUCACUUUUUAGUUGGCUCCAUGACUGUCCUUAGGCCCCUGCAAGACAAUUGGCCUUGAAAGUCUUUACAAUAACGAUGACCACCAACUUUUGCCUCCCUCUGAUGUUCCAAUUGCAAAAUCUGUGACCAUAUUUCUAUCAAUUUUCUUUCCAAGGGAUUCUACUAAUUUCAGAGUACCAAAAACAGAAGUACUUUCAUAUUGGCAGUACAUAUGUUUACCAGUUGCCUUUGGAAGGUGCUCCUACCAGAUCUUACACAUGAUAUGAUGGAUUGAAAUCUUAAAGGGUGACGCAGGAAGCAUUUGAUUUCUGCUCAAUAGAUACAUUUUACAAGUGUGCCAAAACCGUUCUAGAUAUUUCUUCUUGGUAGUUAACCUUUUCUGGCAGCAGAUCACAAGUUCUGCACCAUCAUUAAGAGUCAGAAGUGGGUUGUUUUCCAUAGCACAUACAAAAUAAUACGUGCAAGAUCUCUAAUUCCAGCCUGAAGUUACCCACUUGCUCUGUUGUCUAUGCUGCAUGAUGUCCUUCACUGACGCCUAUCCAUCACGGGGAUUAGUCAAGGCUUGUACUAAAGUGUCUGAGGAAUUGCUUUGUGUUUAUUCCCUGCACCAACGAUGCCAUCAAGACACAUUCGAUCCAGCCUACUUUAAGUUGGUUCAUGUUAUGUACAAGUAUUCAUUUGAGCUGUAUAUGUCAUAUUGAAUGUUCCAUACAAUGUAGGGUAUCGCAAAACCACUACAACACGACACAUAUUUCA